CAGGAGUGUGCAGUAUCCAGGCAGUCUAUGAAACAAUGCCAAAGCAGCGCCUUGCACACGCGUGUUUAUGUGAGUUGAACUGAGUACGUGCGUGCGUGCGUGCGUGCAUGCGUGCCUCGAGACUUUCACACGAUUUCUGCUUUCUGCGCGUCAACACUGCAGUCUUUCAUCAUUCUUGCCUGCACGUUACUAUACCAGGCGCCCUCACAGUAAGCAGGUAUUCGCGCCGCCGCUGCCUCCACUGUCAUCCGCCAUCCUCCACCCCGGUCACCGCAGCCGCUGAGUGGAGAGGCAGAUGAAGGCCUGAGGAGCGACGUCACUCUGUCCCCACAGCCGUCAGUCAGGU